UAAAGGCACCACAUACCUUCUCCUCUGAACUUCUCCUACAUAAACUGCUAUAUGCCCUUUAGGCACAUCUGUUUGGUUUCUGUUAGAAAGAAUGAAGCUUGUGGAAUUGUUUUAUAAACUUCUUCAGUAUACGUUUUCUUUAUCUUUUUAAAUUCCUGAUUUUGAGUAUUAGGCAUAAAGUUAGACUUAAAGAUCACCACUCUAAACAUAUUUCCUUUUGUCACGUUUCUAUCUACAUGUAUGUGGUUGUUGCUCCUGAACCAGUACCAAUUUUUGUUCUCUCCAGGUAUGACUGUUGUCACAGUAAUUAAAUGAUCUAACUAUGAUGUUGUUGGGAUGUUUUUGAUGUCUGAAGGAAGAUCAUUGGAGCAAGAUACUUCAACAAGUGAUAUAGUGCCGUUGUCGGGAACAAACUGUGCUUGAAGAGGGAGAGCCUCUCAGCUACAUUGUUGCCUCUACACAAGGCGUACCCCGUCAUCUCUGCUGCAUCGGCCAAAGCUGGCAACGCAUCAGCUGAUGAGGCCUUGCUCUGCAAAUCUGGCACCUUGAAUCCACGGAAGGCGAAGGGGAAGUUUUGGUGUGCCUACGAGGGGACAACGCGAGAGUUGACAAGGGCGAGCAAGCUGCCUUGGCUGGUGCAGUAGGGAUGGUUUUAGCUAACAAUGAGGCUUCUGGUAAUAAAAUUCUUGCUGAUCCUCGUGUUCUCCCUGCAUCACACAUCAACUUUUCCGAUGGCCUCGCCCUUUUCUCCUACAUCAACUCAACGAGGUUCGAAUCAUGAAUCAUGAAUCAUGGAUCCUAUUGAAAGCUUUUUCUGACAUGGAGAAGUUCUUGCUUUCUUUGACCUUUCGAAAGCUUCUCGGAACUAUUAUGACUUGUGGAUUUUGAAUGUAGGAUUCUCUAUGAAAAAUACUAUUAUGGUGUAGCUUUUUAGAUGUUCAUUAUGGUGUUGGGAGAUGUUGUAAAACAAUGGAUCUUAUUUUGUGGAUGAUGGAUUAUUAGUUGUUAUCAAUGUUUAAAUGAGCAUUUUUAGUA